rnacentral:lncRNA from 1 species
GGAAGCGGGACGUACCAAGCGGCAGGCGGCGGAGGGGUGCGGGCCGGAACUCCGCCCUUCGUGCUGGUCGGUCUCCACGCCCCACUCGGACUAGUGUCACCGCCUCCCCGCCGCAGACACUAUCCGACAAAGGAGGGGGAAUCAAAGGCUGGGCGAAGAGGCAGGGCAGGCGCCGGUGACGCUGCUGGGCAAGCGGGCUCUGCAGUAGCAUUUGUGGCGACCGUGGCAGUGGCUGUGACUGGAAGCUUCUGGAAAUGGCGGCGAUGAGGACCCCCACAUAGGGAUGGCCAUAGCAGCCACAAAAGGAAGCAAACAAGAACAAGUCCUGAUGGAGCAAUUUAUGAAGACAGGCAGCAUAGAGGGAGAAGAACCUGUCUGUCAACCCCACACACGCUUUCCCAGACGUCUCCUGAAAGCUGAGCAUUUGUUAUCUUAAAGCCUCUUACCAGUUUGGAUAGAUAUGGAUCUUCCAAAAUUAAUGAGCUCCUUAAUAUCGACACUGUUUAUCAACAUAAAGGAUCAAUUUAGGAAGAUUAUAAAAACUGAAGUUUCCGGAACAAUAAAUGGGAGAAUUAAUCUUCUGAAUCAAGGACGUAUCCCUGAAUCUGGGGAGCUCUCUAUCAAAAUAUACAUGCUGGAACCCUACCAAAGGAAUAAUAAAUCUGGAAUGAGGCUCUGACUGUCUAAUUAGGAAAAGACUCCUUCCUGGAAUUCUGCACAUCUCCCUACACCUUAGUGACGGUUAAAUAAAUAAUUAUUAAGCUUCUGGA